rnacentral:rRNA from 1 species
GAUGAACGCUGGCGGUAUGCCUAACACAUGCAAGUCGUACGAGAGUUUUUAACUCUAGUGGCGGACGGGUGAGUAACACGUGAGAAUUUGCCUUUAGGAGGGGGAUAACAAUUGGAAACGAAUGCUAAUACCCCAUAUGCUUUUGAGUGAAACGGAUUUAUCCGCCUAGAGAGAAGCUCGCGGCUGAUUAGCUUGUUGGUAAGGUAAGAGCUUACCAAGGCGACGAUCAGUAUCUGGUUUGAGAGGGAGAUCCCCCACACUGGUACUGAGACACGGACCAGACUCCUACGGGAGGCAGCAGUGAGGAAUAUUGGACAAUGGGCGCAAGCCUGAUCCAGCCAUGCCGCGUGCAGGAUGACGGUCCUAUGGAUUGUAAACUGCUUUUGUACAGGAAGAAACACUCCCUCGUGAGGGAGCUUGACGGUACUGUAAGAAUAAGGAUCGGCUAACUCCGUG